GCACGCUAAUGGAGGCACGGGGCGGAGGCUGCGUGGCGCGAGUGUCCCCCGGGGAGGUCCCGGUCCUUGCAGCCCGCGGCCGCGUCCUUGGCCCUCCUCCAGAGGAACCUCGAUUUUUCCAAUGUCAGGAAGGCCGGCUGUCCUUCGGCUACUGAUAAGGACGCGGCCGCAUGGUAAAAGAUUUUAACAAUGCCCGGAAAGAAAUAGCCGGACCCAAGAAAGAGACUAAUAAUAGCAGCCCGCUAGAGUUCUGCUCGUGUGCUCAGCGCUCUUAAGAACAAUAAUAACGACAGCAACCGUAAGAGCCACCAUUUAUUGAGCGCUUACUCUGUGCCACGCACUGUGUUAAGCGUUUUGCAGAAAACAACCCUCGGAGCCCUGAGAGGAGUGCCGCAUUAUUCUCCUUUUGAUAAAAGAGGCCACAAGACUGGUAAAUGGGCAUCCACUGGGAGGACCCAACUUUAAAGCAAUGUUCCCAUCACCAGAAUGUACGAGCUGAUCCAGUUGAACAGAAGAGGAACUGAUGUCCGAAGUAAGCAGCCCAGGCUAGUACAGCAGUCCCAUGACCAUCAGGGACCCAGGCGCCUUCUACCUGGGGCUCUCCAUCGUCAGCACACGCCUUCCACUAGUGACCCAAGACGGCUGACAGAGGAAGAAGCAGCAAAGAAGAGAGAGCCCCAUCUCCUCAAAGGAUGCUUCCUGGAAUUCACAUGCAUCACGCCUGCUCGUACCCCUCUGGCCAGAACUAAGCCCCACGGCCCCCUGGGAAAUAGGAUUUAUCUGAGUAGAGCUUUUAUUACUAUAGAAAAAGGGGGACACAGAUUUUGGAGGGCUAACUGGCCUCUCUGCCAUUUUACAAACAUCUUUGCAGGGCACCUAGUUGUAUAUCCCUUUUUUUUUUCUCUUAUUUUUUGGUGAAUGUUUGACCACGGCAUUAUAAAUUCUUCCAUUUUUAGGGGCACCUGGGUGGCACAGCAGUUAAGCGUCUGCCUUCGGCUCAGGGCGUGAUCCCGGCAUU